CUUAUACAUGCAGUCGAGGGGUAACAUGGGUAGCAAUACCUGAUGACGACCGGCAAACGGGUGCGGAACACGUACGCAACCUUCCCAUAACUGGUGAAUAGCCCUCCGAAAGGAGGAUUAAUACACCGUAACAUAACGAAGAGGCAUCUCUUUGUUAUUAUAGCAGCAAUGCGGUUUUGGAUGGGCGUGCGCCUGAUUAGGUAGUUGGCGGGGUAACGGCCCACCAAGCCUACGAUCAGUAACUGGUGUGAGAGCACGACCAGUCACACGGGCACUGAGACACGGGCCCGACUCCUACGGGAGGCAGCAGUAAGGAAUAUUGGUCAAUGGACGAAAGUCUGAACCAGCCAUGCCGCGUGAAGGAUGAAGGCCCUCUGGGUUGUAAACUUCUUUUAUAGGGGACGAAAAAAGGGAAUUCUUUCUCACUUGACGGUACCCUAGGAAUAAGCACCGGCUAACUCCGUGCCAGCAGCCGCGGUAAUACGGAGGGUGCAAGCGUUAUCCGGAUUUACUGGGUUUAAAGGGUGCGUAGGUGGGCAGUUAAGUCAGUGGUGAAAUCUCCGGGCUUAACCCGGAAACUGCCAUUGAUACUAUCUGUCUUGAAUAUUCUGGAGGUAAGCGGAAUAUGUCAUGUAGCGGUGAAAUGCUUAGAUAUGACAUAGAACACCAAUUGCGAAGGCAGCUUACUACGGGAUUAUUGACACUGAGGCACGAAAGCAUGGGGAUCAAACAGGAUUAGAUACCCUGUAGUCCACGCCCUAAACGAUGGAUACUCGACAUCAGCGAUACACUGUGGUGUCUGAGCGAAAGCAUUAGUAUCCCACCUGGGAGUACGACGCAGUGAAACUCAAAGAUUGACGGGUCCGCCAGCGGUGGAGCAUGUGGUU
rnacentral:rRNA from 1 species